UUUUUUGCUUUCUGGAACUGAGAGCAGAGGAAUGGAAGGCUUUUGAGCCAGUAGAGCGUGCUUCUGAAUUAUGGUUGCUUAUGCUUUUGUUGUUCAGCUUUGUGGGCUAUCCCUGCACUCUUUAUUUGCAUUUUGGAUUUGGAGUACAUGUAAAAGUUUCUGCUUGCUUGAAGGUGGCUCAGGAUCUCACUAACUGAACGAGCAGUGCAACUGUAGAGAGAACUCUACAUGAAGGCAAAGUACAGAACCCUAACAAAGAACUGGACAGGAGCUGGUCUGCUGAGAAACUGGCGAGGUGUUUCAAGCCUGUGUGCCAGGAGUGCAGAACUCAGUUUGCUGCAACUCUCCCCUCAAUGGUAGAAGCUUCACUUACAAAUGCUGUGCUACAGAGGAAGCUAUGAAUACAUAUGGAUGGAAGUCUUAAGAUGGGUCAGAACUGAUUCAGCUGCUGACAUUGUGACACUGGACUUGCAAAUGCAAACAGUGACAAGAUUUAUCCAAGAUCCAAGUAGUCUGUGCCAGGAGGUGCUGGUUAAUCUUUGUUUGCUGGCAGCUGGGGAGAAUGCUACAUGAGCUAAGUUCAACUUGCUGUGUGUGGAAACUUCUUAUUGCCUUUGGGAGAGUCAGAAUCAAAAGAGGAGGAAGUUGAAUUCCUGGUGGGGUAUCACUAGUGUGAAGUCUCUGCUCCUGGCUGAACAGGCACGGUGGCUUCGUCUGUCCUGUUAGAAGCCGUUCAUCACUUUAAUAUCUGAAUCGGAGGAUUCCAUUAGAAUCAUCAGAUUUUGCCAGUACUUCACAAUGUAGAGCUGCAAACUCGCCGAGUGCCUCUGAUGGGUCAUAUGAGGCUUUGACACUUGUGCUGCUACUUUGGCCUUGGAGACUUCUGACACAGCCCACUUUCCUGAGUAGAGACCUGUUUGCAGGGCCUUGGCAGGGUUUGAAAGGCAUUGCUUCUGCUCCUGUGUUGCAGGUUCAGCCUGGGUUUCAAGAGGGUGCAAGAGGCUUCAAGAGGCUUCGUGGUUUCCUGAAGGGAAAGUGACAGGUGCCACAUUUCUUUGUGCAAGUCUGUAACUGUGUCAUGGCAUUCCAGUACUUACCCCAAGAUGAGUGAUGAUUGUACUAAUUAAGAACUGAAGUGGAAGGAUAUGAGAAGGAUGCAGUAUGGGGUGUUUUCUAAUAAAACUGAACUACUUUGGCAGCAGCUGAUGCUGCUUUUCUCAUGGCAGCCUUUAUUUCCCUUGUAAAACCUAGAACAUUCUUUCAAAACCAGCUCUGGUGCUGGGAGGAGCACGUGCAGUGCAGAGCAAGCCUUAACUUCAUUUUACUCUCUGUAUCUUACAGAAGUAGAAGCUUAGGCUUUCUAGACUCCUGUCCUUUGUUCCUCUGUGGUUUGCUGCAUGCUUUUGAAUCUGUUACCUUGUCAUAACUGUAUUUACUGGGCGUCAGACUGCACUGUUACAGCAUCUUAUGCACAUGCAUGUAAAGAAGUAGGGGAACAUCAGCUGCACUCAACAGCUGCUUGGAUCUCUACUCUCUGCAGACUAGCAUUAAGUGACCACAUUUUCCUGUAUGUGUCAGACCGUGUAUGGGUCUUCCACUCCAGUUUUAGACAUAAAGAAAAGCUUAUCUACAGGAACAUAUGAGCCCUGUUGCAGCUGGGUAGUUGACAGCAGCGUUCUGGAACGGCAGUGCUGCAGUUUUUCUUACAGUGGUGACACCUUUUAUUUAUUCCAAGAAACUAUUUAUUCACCUCUGCAACAGAGCUGCAGCUGUGCUGUUACACCCCAGGUGUACUUUGCUCAUAUUUACAUAA